rnacentral:lncRNA from 1 species
CAUAAAACUAUCUUCCUUAUCUACCAAGGGUGAUAGAUUCUAUAUAAGUAUACAUCCUAUUCCUACAAUGAAACUACUUCAGCCAAUAUGCACCAUAAGGAUUCAUAUGCACCGCAGGUCAAUAGACUAGUCACUCUAUUGUAAUAUCGAGCAAGUCACUAAUGAGUGAGUAGAUAUCUAAGUGACUUCUCGUAUCGAUCACAUGUGGUAUCCUUAUUCUCUAACAAUCACCUGCACUCUUGCUUCAAUAUCCUCACAUCGUUGACUCGAGACUUGUCUAUCCUGUCAAAAAAAUGAUCCAUGCACCAAUC